AGUCGAACGCCCUCUUCGGAGGGAGUGGCGCACGGGUGCGUAACGCGUGGGAACCUGCCUUUAGGUUCGGAAUAACUCAGAGAAAUUUGAGCUAAUACCGGAUAGUCUUCGGACCAAAGAUUUAUCGCCUUUAGAUGGGCCCGCGUUGGAUUAGCUAGUUGGUGGGGUAAAGGCCUACCAAGGCGACGAUCCAUAGCUGGUCUGAGAGGAUGAUCAGCCACACUGGGACUGAGACACGGCCCAGACUCCUACGGGAGGCAGCAGUGGGGAAUAUUGGACAAUGGGCGAAAGCCUGAUCCAGCAAUGCCGCGUGAGUGAUGAAGGCCUUAGGGUUGUAAAGCUCUUUUACCAGGGAUGAUAAUGACAGUACCUGGAGAAUAAGCUCCGGCUAACUCCGUGCCAGCAGCCGCGGUAAUAC
rnacentral:rRNA from 1 species